rnacentral:lncRNA from 1 species
UUUUUUUUUUUUUUUUUUUUGGUCUUUUCUAGGGCCGCUCCCAUGGCAUAUGGAGGUUCCCAGGCUAGGGGUCUAAUCGGAGCUGUAGCUGCCAAGCCUAUGCCACAGCCACAGCCACACAGGAUCUGAGCCGCAUCUGCAACCUACACCACGGUUCACGGCAACGCCGGAUCCUUAGCCCACUGAGCAAGGCCAGGGAUCGAACCCGCAACCUCAUGGUUCCUAGUCGGAUUCGUUAACCACUGAGCCACGACGGAAACUCCAUAAAUGUUAUAUAUACUCUUAACGGUUAAACUAAAGGGCAAUCAACACAACAUGGUCCCCUAUAACCUUAAAUCAUCCAAUCACAAGAAAUCACUCCCCUCAAAAAAAAAAAAAAACAACUUGUAUUUUAAGCUCUGAAGAUGACUACUUCAACAUAUGUGCAGGAAUAAAGCAAUUCAUUCCAAUUUGACCCAGUCAACCAAGCCAGACACCUCCUGUUUCAUUUAUGUUCUCACUGCCAGGAAGCAAAGGAAUGUAGCUGGACAUGAAGCAGGCUCUGCAACCCUAAACAUAUAUAAACUCCACAAUACCUGGGACCACAGGGAAACAGCUAAUCAACUGACCCAAUAAAGCACUAUUCCUAUGUGUUUUUUCUUAAAGAGGAUUUCUGGCUGGCUCUCCUUAAAAUACACUAGAUUGAAAUCUGACUGCAACCUACGAUUAAUGGUAUCUUGGUAUUUUCCUUUCUUAGUGAUAUACAAACAACGGUGCAUCUGACAACUCUCGGCAUCUCAGAAUGGGUUACCCUGGGCAGGUUACUAGGUUGAAUCACAACAAUAAGCUUCUCAAGUUCCUGUCGUGGCUCAGUGGUAACGAACCCGACUAGGAUCUAUGAGGAUAAGGGUUCGAUCCCUGGCCUCGCUCAGUGGGUUAAGGAUCCAGCGUUGCCAUGAGGUAUCAUGUAGGUCGCAGAUGCAGCUCAGAUCCCUCGUUGCUGUGGCUCUGGUGUAGACCAGCAGCUACAUCUCUGAUUGGACCCCUAGCCUGGGAACUUCCAAUGCUGAGGGUGUGGCCCUAAAAACCAAAAAAAUUUUUUUAAAUAAAAAUAACAAUAAGCUUCUCAAGGCCUCUGUCUCCUCAUAUGGAAAAUGGCAGUAACGACUUGAUCUGAUAUGAGUGUGAUUAUAAUGUUAAAUUAUUAACAGACAUAAAGUGUUCAAACCAGCCUGGCACAUAGCAAGCACUACACUGACCUGACACUGACAGAUCAUUCCUUCCAGGGUUUUGUUUUUGAUUAAGUUGUAUCUCUCCAUCAACACACUCACCCUCUCCCCCAUAAUCAGGGACAAAUCCAUAAGAUGGCCAAAUUUGGUUUUAUUAUACAGCACGUCAACUUUUAUAGGAAACUAACUGACCGUUAUGGAAAGUAAAGCUAUAUAACUUUAACCCCUCACUAGUGUGCUGUUACAACUACAUGCUGGGCAGAAAUUAAAUCAGAGCUUUUCAAGUCAUCUGGCACUGUAAUUUAGGUCAAUCGGUUACUAGUACACCAAAUGAACUAAAUAAAGCUGAAACAUAAUUUAAGAAAAGAGAUGUGUCAAUUAUCAGCGACAUUCAUCUUAGAAACUGGGAGUUCUAAUGACAAACAUUAUAGGAGCUAUGUAGCAAGAUCAGUCUCUGAGCAGAAAUAUAUCCCACCAGGGGUAUAUUUUAUUCCUUCCUGAUGAAAGAAAAUCAAUCCCCCACAUUAUAGAGAAAACAAAAAACUCUAUACAUAUGCAACCCUAACAAAGGAUCAGUGUCCAAAUACAUAAAGAACUCACACAAGUCAUUAAGAAAAAGAACCUUAUGUAAAGUUACAGAAAAACAGCGAAAGAUAUAUUCACAGGAAGAACCCAAGUAGCCAAAAAACAUAUAAAAACACACUUAACCUCACCAGUAAUUAGAAAAAUGCCAAGGUAGACCACAGAAAGACAACACUGCAGAAAGUUAAGAAAUCUGGGAGUUUCCUGGUGGUCUAGUGGUUAGGACUCAGUGCUUUCACCAGUCUGGGAAGGAAGAAAGGAAAGGAAGGAGCGGGGGAGGGAGGGAAGAGAAGUGAAUAAAUCUAACACAUAGUGAAAACUGGGUGAAAAAAGGAACUUGUGCCUUAUGAGUGGCGAAGUACUUGUCUGGAAAACAUCAAAGCAAAUGAAUAUGCACAAAUAAUCCCAUUUACAAAAAGGACUUUGACAAUAACAAAACACUGCUUAUCAUGCAUAAGUAUGUACUGAAGUAGGAAAGCAUGCACAGGCCUUGAGAGCGGCCGCUCAGAUUUCCCUUCAAGAGAGAAAGAGCCAAGAGGAGUGGAAUUAGCUGACAGCCCCAGCUGCCCAGCACCUCUGCGAUCCACUGCGGCAUUCGAACCAAUGCCAGGCCAAGACUGAACACCACAGGCGUUCUAGAACAGGGCUCUCCUGCCCAAUGCACCCUAACAAACGACACCUUCACCCCAAGCCGCACAGCAAUCUCAGGCGUCUGGAUCCAAUCACCACCCUUCCUUCCGUUUUCCUUCGUAGGCGCCCACCUCCAUCCAUCCUGAACACUCUGCCACCCGACCUGCUUCCUCUCCUCUUUAUCCCUCAUAGGCACGUACCCCAGGGAACUCCUGCACAACUAACUCUAUAGGUAGGAAGCAAACUAUCACAGGAAUAACAUCAAUCACCUUCCAAUUACAGAAGGCAGGACUGGAAGAAUUAGCCUUUCCCUGCACCUGAAGCAAGUAUGUCCUAAUAUUAACAGUGUUUACACCUGAAAUUAAUACAACACUGUCAAUCAACUAUACGCUGACAAUGUUUUUUACAAAAGCCAAACCAUAGUGUUUAAUCACCGUGGUGGGUAUAUGACUAUAGGUAUUAUUUUAUUUUCUAUGCGAAUGGGUUUUCUUAAUAACUCUAUCUUCACAAUUCUACUAUCCUACCUUACCAUAAUUUGCAAAAGCAUUCAAACUAUCUACUCACUUCAAUUUUAGAAAUGUAACUCUUACCUCUGGUUCUAAAAUUAUGCACACAUAUGACUCUUCCCAAUCACCGCACCAGUAACAAGGCUCUAAAACAAGAAGAGUUGGAAGUUUGGUUCCAGAGGCCUCAAGUCUACCUGGAGAUACUUUCAAUAACUGAAAGACAAAUUCAGGUCACUCUGUCUCGCUCGACCAUACGUUCUUCAUCAAGAACUCAGGAAGGCGGGACUGGAUGGACACUACAACCUUCUCUCUCAAUACUACAAUAGAGGGAAAACACAGAAAUUUCAAAGUAUCACCCCUACUGCGCAAUUUUUACUGAGUCCAUGUCUUUAAAGAAUUUGACCAAUUUGAAAAAAAAAAGAAUUUUUAGGGUUUAAUGUCAUUUCAUUUUAAUGUUAUUUUAAAUUACUUAUUUCUUCAAACAUUUUGGCAAAACACUCUUCAUCACCUUAAACCACUUUUUUUUUUUUUUUUUUUCCACAUUCACGGCAUAUGGAAGUUUCCAGGCCAGCCCACGGCAUGUGGAAGUCCCUAGGCUAGGGUCCAAUCAGAGCUACAGCUGCCGACCUACACCACAGCAACGCAGGAUCUGAGCCUCGUCUGCAACCUACACCACAGCCACAGCCACAGCCACGCCGGAUCCUUAACCCACUGAGCGAGCCUGGGAACUUCCAUAUGCUGCAGAUGCAGCCAUUAAAAAAAAAAAAAAAAUCAACAACAGAAAACAUAAAACUCAACCAGAAGUUAGAUAUAUAUAUAUUAAUAAAAUUUCCAGAACACAAAACAUAAAAUAUUAGAACUACAACUUGUAUGUCUUAUUUCUAGGAUCACAAAUAUUUUCUACAACUGCUAAUUAAAGCUGUAGGAAUUAACUCAAUCCAAAUCACUGACUCAACAUUCAAUCCCAAUUCCACCUUAUUCAAACUUUCACUGUGCUGCUACAGAGAUUCUCUAUAGGAAAAAUGAUUUCAAGUUCUCUAUCCUAAAUAUAAAUACCAACUUAACACACACUCCUUAGCAAAGAUCACUGUUUUCCAUUAGAGUAAAGGGACAAAGUGAAACCUUACUUCUUAGGUCUACAUUAUGCACAGGACCUCUAAAGAAAGGCUCAGAAAUGAGGGCUAAAUUAUACAUCGAUUACAAUAAUUUAUGUAGCAGAGAGUAAAAUUUAAAAAAUGAGUUCCCUGAUAGCCUAGCAGUUAAGGAUCCAGCACUGUCACUGCUGUGAUCUGAACAGGUUUACCUAUUCUCUCUGGAUCUCAGUGUACUUUUCUGCUAUAUAAACGUUUUGGACUAUUUCUCUCUUUUCCAGGAAAACUGCAGCAGGUACAUACAACUUAAAAACAAUCAUUUUUAAAUAUCUCAGUGCAUGAUUUGCAUUCAAACGUUACAAUCCAGUAAAGCAGGCAACGCAAGGACCACUGCUUGGCAACCUAAGUCCCACGAAUGCUAAUUAGAAUAAAACAGCAAAAAUGUUUAUUUAGCAUUCACCGUGUGCCAGACACUGUGCUGGACAUUUCCCGUGUAUUAGCUCAGUUAACUCCUUCUCUUAGAGAGAUCUAUUACCUCUAUUUCACAGAUGAAAGCAAAAAUAACUUGCCCAGGGACAACACAGCUGUCAGGAAGCACUACCAAGAUCUGAACUCAGGUUUGACAAUUCUCACAGACCAAGCUCUCACAAGUCUCCUCUAUCCUGCUUCUGAAAGAAACCUGAAAUUAAAAAGAUGACUCUAACUGACAUAAUCACAGGCCAUACGUGAUGAAAAGAACUCUGAUUCACGAGGGAGGAAACUGAGGCUCCCGAGAUAAAAUGACUAGCUCUACCUUCAACAACCUUCUUAAUCACAGAGACAGGGCUUUCAACCUCCUGACACCAGCUUUAGGUGUCUCCCAGCACACGGCUUCACGCAGUUAUCACACACAGCAUUUACCGUUCUCCUGACCUCUCAUUUGGGUGAACGCCGCCCCAAAGUAGGCCUGCAUCACAACACAUCCACCGAAACGUAUGAAUUUUAGGGUAUCUAUAAAACUGAUUUUUACAAAAAAAUUAAAGCAUAGCAAACUAUGUGUUUAAAGAGGAACACAGAACCACCAGUAAAAAGAAAUGAAAAGCAGGUCAAGACACCCUGUUCAGGAAAAUAAUUCCACAUUAAAUCAUAACACAUUUUUUUAAUACAAAUCAACUCAAGUGACAGUUGAGCCAAUGACAACCACACAUUUUCAAAUGUAAUUAAAUAUAUUGGAUUCAAUGUUUCAAAUACAGGUUGCAUGUUUAAAGGGCCAUUACCUCAAAAAUAUUUACCAUUAAUAUUUCCCCUUCUGUAAGAGUCUUAAUUCUACUGUUGGUGAACUGUGACACUGAAAACCUACUCAGAAGUUGACAAUAAUAACACAUGCUUCAGAAAACAAAGAAUUGAGUCAACCUCAAAAUCCUGCCAUUGUGUUCCUCUAGCUAAAAGACAACAAAGAGUACCAAACAAACAAUCAAAGAAAUAUAUAGGUUACAGCUUUUCCUUGCUUGUUGGUAAGAUCUUGGAAACAUUUACCUUUUUGUAUAGAAAAAGACUACUUGUUUCAAAAUAAAUUAUGCUGGAGUUCCCGUCGUGGCGCAGUGGUUAACGAAUCCGACUAGGAACCAUGAAGUUGCAGGUUCAGUCCCUGGCCUUGCUCAGCGGGUUAAGGAUCUGGCGUUGCUGUGAGCUGUGGUGUGGGUCAAAGACACGGCUCGGAUCCCGAGCUGCUGUGGCUGUGGUGUAGGCCGGUGGCUACAGCUCCAAUUAGACCCCUAGCCUGGGAACCUCCUUAUGUCGCGGGAGCAGCUCAAGAAAAGGCAAAAAGACAAAAAACGAAACAAAAAAAACAAAUUAUGCUUUGCAAGCAUAGGAAAUAACUAGCCAGAGGUAGGAGAAAAUAAGCAUUCUUCCCUCUUACUUUAUUUUAUGAUUACUAAAUUCUAGAAGAAAUCAAAGAUAACUCAGCAUACGCUAUGGCCUUGAGUAAGGAAAGACAAUCUGGACGCCGCACAAGAAGGAAGACUAAGUUAAAGGUACAAAACUGCAUUCUGGUCUUUGUCUUUAAAUGUAAUUGAUAAAAUCUGUUCCAUCAUUAUAAACAUAGAUGCUUUCUUUUUGUCUUUUGAGGGCUGAACCAGAAGCAUAUGGAAGCUCCCAGGCUAGGGGUCGAAUCGGUGCUGCAUACACCACAGCAACGCAGAAUCCAAGUCCUGUCUUCGACCUACACCACAGCUCACAACACCACCAGAUCCUGAACCCAUUGAGUGGGGCCAGAGAUCGAACCCACAUCCUCAUGGAGAGAGUUGGGUUUGUUACUGCUGAGCCACGACCCAACUUCCAUGGAUGAUAUUGUAACUACAAAUGUGUCGGCCCACGGAUCCAGUCUAGGUCUUCAUUAGAGCAUAUUUUAGAAGGACGUGCUCUAUGCCCAUCGUGCACUGAGGGAUGACAAAUGAACCUUUCUCAGACUACGCAGGGAGUAGCAUCAGGCGGAUCUAGUUUCAAUCUUUUGCUUUUAAAGCUAAAGAGGGUCAAGUUGGGAUACCAGGGGAGUGUUCUUAUGGCUCAGGAGGUUAAGCAACCAGUGUUAUCACUGCAGCUGCUGGGGUCGCUGCUUCGGCUCUGGUGCAAUCCCUGGCCUGGGAACUUCCACAUGCCUCAGGCAUAGCCAAAAAAACAAUAAAUAAAAUCAACUUUUCUGUGCAUACAUAUUUACAGGGAUCAUUUAAAGGAAAAGAAAAAAUAAAAUAAGCACUUUCCCAACGAGUUUCAGUAUGUUCAAAUUCUGGUAGAAAUAAAGAUGCGCACAAAACUCAGGCAGGAAGAAAGAAAAAGCCGUGAUGAUCACAAUCACAAUUUCAUAUUACUCCCAACUUGGACUCAUGGAAAGAAACUGUCUUAAGUCUAAAGACGUAAAAACAAAAUUUUUUUCCAUGAAAUAAAGAUAUAUCAUUUCUAUUCCAAAAUGGAAGUCUCAUCUUCCCUUAGAUUUUAAGUUAAUUGAGAAUACACCUAAAAAAAAUAAAUCAGGAGAAAACAGUAAAGUCCCACAAUUUCCAGCCAUAUCUAGGAGUGUGUCCCACUGCUAGGCAGUAAAACAGGGUUUGAAAUUACUUCAUACCAGUUAGAUUCCUUUCCAGAUUAAAACAAACACAAAAUAGGAAAUGUUAAUUGGCAGUAAGACUACGGAGCAAAACAUUUAGUGUUUUAUUUCUUAGAAUGGCAGGUCUCUAGCAAAUUUAUGGCUUUCAAAACUAAUAUAACCAAAAUGUACC